GAUGAACGCUGGCGGCGUGCCUAAUACAUGCGAGUCGAGCGAACGGACGAGAAGCUUGCUUCUCUGAUGUUAACGGCGGACGGGUGAGUAACACGUGGAUAACCUACCUAUAAGCCUGGGAUAACUUCGGGAAACCGUAGCUAAUACCGGCUAAUACUUUGAACCGCAUGGUUCAAAAGUGAAAGACGGUCUUGCUGUCACUUAUAGAUGGAUCCGCGCUGCAUUAGCUAGUUGGUAAGGUAACGGCUUACCAAGGCAACGAUGCAUAGCCGACCUGAGAGGGUGAUCAGCCACACUGGAACUGAGACACGGUCCAGACUCCUACGGGAGGCAGCAGUAGGGAAUCUUCCGCAAUGGGCGAAAGCCUGACGGAGCAACGCCGCGUGAGUGAUGAAGGUCUUCGGAUCUUAAAACUCUGUUAUUAGGGAAGAACAUAUGUGUAAGUAACUGUGCACAUCUUGACGGUACCUAAUCAGAAAGCCACGGCUAACUACGUG
rnacentral:rRNA from 1 species